GUGUAUUUGUGUGCAUGCACAAUGAUGGAGGAACAGAUGGUGUUUGGUUGCUCCAUGCCAGCAAGCACCAAGCCCCGUCUGUGUGGGACAAAACAACAGGGAAAUGAGAUGAGGAAGCUGUACUGAUGCUUCUGUGGCAGGGCAUAAGACUAAAAUAAGACUAAAUAGCAGACACUAGUCUUGACAAGACUGGUCUAGAAACACACCCCAGAGAGUCUCACAGAGCUGCUUUACUGUUCUUCAAACACACACUUCCACUAAAGGAACAGAGUACAAACAACAGCCUUUAGUUCAUAUAUCCAUUCUCAUAUUACAAAUGUCAAGCUGUCCAGCCCUGACAGUUUAAUAUCCUGCCCAGGGUCUUUUUCUCUGUGAUUGAAGAUGGUUUCUUCCACAGCUGUGUAAUAAGAGUACACAUGUUUCAGUGUGUGAGAAAGAGGAAAGUCUCCAUCUAGAGUACAAACAGGGCAGUAUUA
rnacentral:lncRNA from 1 species